AUAUAUAUAGUUGGAUUAGGAAAAUUUUAAUGAAAUGAGUAGAUUAGUAAAUAUUUCAGUGGAUACGGGAGGAUCCGACCCGAAUUCUUAUAAACCCAUAUUCGAAACCGAAUCCGAGUCGGGUUAUAUAUUUACAUCCAGAUCCGACCCAUAUUGUUAUUCGGGUUUAAUUUUAAGAUCCAAACCCGGUAAUAUGGAUUCGGAUAUGGUCGGGUUCGGGUUUCAACCCGCACUAUUUACAUCCC
rnacentral:lncRNA from 1 species